GACGAACGCUGGCGGCGUGCCUAAUACAUGCAAGUCGAGCGAAGUUUUUCUGGUGCUUGCACCGGAAAAACUUAGCGGCGAACGGGUGAGUAACACGUAAAGAACCUGCCUCAUAGACUGGGACAACUAUUGGAAACGAUAGCUAAUACCGGAUAACAGCAUUAACUGCAUGGUUGAUGUUUAAAAGUUGGUUUUGCUAACACUAUGAGAUGGCUUUGCGGUGCAUUAGCUAGUUGGUGGGGUAAAGGCCUACCAAGGCGACGAUGCAUAGCCGACCUGAGAGGGUGAUCGGCCACACUGGGACUGAGACACGGCCCAGACUCCUACGGGAGGCAGCAGUAGGGAAUCUUCCGCAAUGGGCGAAAGCCUGACGGAGCAACGCCGCGUGAGUGAAGAAGGAUUUCGGUUCGUAAAGCUCUGUUGUUAGGGAAGAAGGAUUGUGUAGUAACUAUACACAGUAGAGACGGUACCUAACCAGAAAGCCACGGCUAACUACGUG
rnacentral:rRNA from 1 species